rnacentral:rRNA from 1 species
UACGGGGGGAGCAAGCGUUGUUCGGAUUUACUGGGCGUAAAGGGCGCGUAGGCGGCCACCGCAAGUCGGUUGUGAAAUCUCUGGGCUUAACCCAGAAAGGUCAACCGAUACUGCGGGGCUAGAGUGCAGAAGGGGCAACUGGAAUUCUCGGUGUAGCGGUGAAAUGCGUAGAUAUCGUGGGAACACCCGUGGCGAAGGCGGGCUUCUGGGUAAUUACUGACGCUGAGGUGCGAAAGCUAGGGGAGCGAACGGG